rnacentral:rRNA from 1 species
GUCGAGGGGCAUCAUGAGGUAGCAAUACCUUGAUGGCGACCGGCGCACGGGUGAGUAACGCGUAUGCAACCUGCCCGAUACCGGGGUAUAGCCCAUGGAAACGUGGAUUAACACCCCAUAGUACUUUUAUCCUGCAUGGGAUAGGAGUUAAAUGUUUAAGGUAUCGGAUGGGCAUGCGUCCUAUUAGUUAGUUGGCGGGGUAACAGCCCACCAAGACGAUGAUAGGUAGGGGUUCUGAGAGGAAGGUCCCCCACAUUGGAACUGAGACACGGUCCAAACUCCUACGGGAGGCAGCAGUGAGGAAUAUUGGUCAAUGGACGAGAGUCUGAACCAGCCAAGUCGCGUGAGGGAAGACUGCCCUAUGGGUUGUAAACCUCUUUUAUAAGGGAAGAAUAAGUUCUACGUGUAGAAUGAUGCCUGUACCUUAUGAAUAAGCAUCGGCUAACUCCGUGCCAGCAGCCGCGGUAAUACGGAGGAUGCGAGCGUUAUCCGGAUUUAUUGGGUUUAAAGGGUGCGUAGGCGGUUUAUUAAGUUAGUGGUUAAAUAUUUGAGCUAAACUCAAUUGUGCCAUUAAUACUGGUAAACUGGAGUACAGACGAGGUAGGCGGAAUAAGUUAAGUAGCGGU